rnacentral:rRNA from 1 species
UACGAAGGGGGCUAGCGUUGCUCGGAAUCACUGGGCGUAAAGCGCACGUAGGCGGCUUCUUAAGUCAGGGGUGAAAUCCUGGAGCUCAACUCCGGAACUGCCUUUGAUACUGGGAGGCUCGAGUCCGGAAGAGGUGAGUGGAACUGCGAGUGUAGAGGUGAAAUUCGUAGAUAUUCGCAAGAACACCAGUGGCGAAGGCGGCUCACUGGUCCGGUACUGACGCUGAGGUGCGAAAGCGUGGGUAGCAAACAGG